CAUAUUCGCAUUGUAUUAUGGUAUAUUAUAUGUAAAAAAAACUUAAUAUUUUUCUUCUUCUUCACCAAAUUUUAGGUUUCUUCAUCAAUAAUCCAGAUGAAUUUUAGGUUUCGUCUUCUUCACCAUAAAAGAUUGAUUCAUAUUAUAUACAAAUGUGUAAGAAAUGUAACUACAUAAUCCAGAUGAAUAUGAUUUAUUUUCGCGAUAUUCACAUUGUAUUAUGGUAUAUUAUAUGUAAAAAAAAUC
rnacentral:lncRNA from 1 species